ACUCCGGAAUUGCCAUUGAAACUGUUUGACUUGAGUACGGGAGAGGUGAGUGGAAUUCCCAGUGUAGAGGUGAAAUUCGUAGAUAUUGGGAAGAACACCGGUGGCGAAGGCGGCUCACUGGCCCGUUACUGACGCUCAGGCGCGACAGCGUGGGGAUCAAACAGGAGUAGAUACCCUGGUAGUCCACGCCGUAAACGAUGAACGCUAGCCGUUGGAUAGCUUGCUAUUCAGUGGCGCAGCUAACGCAUUAAGCGUUCCGCCUGGGGAGUACGGCCGCAAGGUUGAAACUCAAAGGAAUUGACGGGGGCCCGCACAAGCGGUGGAGCAUGUGGUUUAAUUCGACGCAACGCGCAGAACCUUACCAGGGUUUGACAUCCUGUGCUAUCUGCAGAGAUGCAGAGUCCCCG
rnacentral:rRNA from 1 species